rnacentral:rRNA from 1 species
AGAGGGUGCAAGCGUUAAUCGGAGCUACUGGGGCGUAAAGGGCGCGUAGGUUGCUAGUUUAGUCAGAUGUGAAAUAUCCGGGGCUUAAACCUGGGACAUGCCAUCUGAUACUGGCUAGCUAGAGUACAGUAGAGGGAAGUGGAAUUUCCGGUGUAGCGGUGAAAUGCGUAGAUAUCGGAAGGAACAUCAGUGGCGAAGGCGACUUCCUGGACUGAUACUGACACUGAGGCGCGAAAGCGUGGGUAGCGAACAGGAUUAGAUACCCUGGUAGUCCACGCCGUAAACGAUGAGAACUAGCUGUUGGGCACGAGAGUGUUUAGUAGCGUAGCUAACGCGCUAAGUUCUCCGCCUGGGGAGUACGGCCGCAAGGUUA